rnacentral:rRNA from 1 species
AAAGCGAAGGUACUACUUAAAGUUAAAAUAUUCAUGUGGUAUCUCCGUAGGAGAGUUGUGCUAACAAAAAACAACCUCACAUGACGCAACUGGUCGGGAAGUAAAAAGUGUUCUUUUUGUACUCAUGUCGAGGCAAUUAAACACCUAUUUUUCCAAUGUAAGUUUGCGCGUUCUACGCGGUCAGCCAUCUAA